rnacentral:rRNA from 1 species
UACGUAGGGUGGCAAGCGUUAAUCGGAAUUACUGGGUCGUAAAGCGUGCGCAGGCGGUUUUGUAAGUCUGCUGUGAAAGCCCGUGGGCCUCAACCUGGGAACUGCAGUGGAUACUGGCGGACUAGAGUGUGAUAGAGGAUGGUGGAAUUCCCGGUGUAGCGGUGAAAAUGCGUAGAGAUCGGGAGGAACAACCAGUGGCGAAGGCGGCCAUCUGGAUCAACACUGACGCUGAGGCACGAAAGCGUGGGGAGCAAACAGG